AAUGGGGGCAACCCUGAUCUAGCCAUGCCGCGUGAGUGAUGAAGGCCUUAGGGUCGUAAAGCUCUUUCGCCUGUGAUGAUAAUGACGGUAGCAGGUAAAGAAACCCCGGCUAACUCCGUGCCAGCAGCCGCGGUAAUACGGAGGGGGUUAGCGUUGUUCGGAAUUACUGGGCGUAAAGCGCGCGUAGGCGGAUUAGAAAGUUGGGGGUGAAAUCCCGGGGCUCAACCCCGGAACUGCCUCCAAAACUGCUAGUCUAGAGUUCGAGAGAGGUGAGUGGAAUUCCGAGUGUAGAGGUGAAAUUCGUAGAUAUUCGGAGGAACACCAGUGGCGAAGGCGGCUCACUGGCUCGAUACUGACGCUGAGGUGCGAAAGUGUGGGGAGCAAACAGGAUU
rnacentral:rRNA from 1 species